rnacentral:rRNA from 1 species
AUUGAACGCUGGCGGCGUGCUUAACACAUGCAAGUCGAACGAGAACGGAUUAUAGCUUGCUAUAAUUGUCAGCUAAGUGGCGCACGGGUGAGUAAUGUAUAGGUAAUAUGCCUCUUACUAAGGGAUAACAAAUGGAAACGUUUGCUAAUACCUUAUACUCCUUAUUAACCUAAGUUAAUAAGGGAAAGAUUUAUUGGUAAGAGAUUAGCCUGUAUUGUAUCAGUUAGUUGGUGGGGUAAUGGCUUACCAAGACUAUGACACAUAACUGGUUUGAGAGGAUGAUCAGUCACACUGGAACUGAGACACGGUCCAGACUCCUACGGGAGGCAGCAGUGGGGAAUAUUGCACAAUGGACGAAAGUCUGAUGCAGCAACGCCGCGUGGAGGAUGACACAUUUCGGUGCGUAAACUCCUUUUAUAUGAGAAGAUAAUGACGGUAUUAUAUGAAUAAGCACCGGCUAACUCCGUGCCAGCAGCCGCAGUAAUAC